GUACCUUCAACCAAGGCGCCUCUCCCAGACCCUGAGUGUCUUUCAGCUGUUCUUACUAUUCCUUUCUAUCAUGUUAAGACUGUGUUGAAAAUUGAAAAUUGCUUCCUUUAAUCUUUUCCUUUGAUCUUCUUUUUCCUCUCCUAGGGAUAAGCUGUGCCCUGAUAGAAUGGAGAUCAGCUGGAUGUUAUGUUUUCCUACACAAAAGGUUUCCUUUUGUAAUGUGUUUAUGAUUGGAAACUAGCCAUCAGGCAAAGGAGGCACUUCUGUUUUCACCUUGUUUGCAGGCCCAUCCUGUGUCUCUUGUUUAUCUUUCCAGCCCUCAGUCUCCUGAUGGACCUCCCUGCUCCUCAUGCUCUCCAGGAGACACAACUUUCAGGAGAAGAUGGGUUUUCUGUUUUCAGUAGACUUUUUCCAGCACUGCAAAACAGCUUCUAACUCUUUCAAACCUGAUGGUUCCCCCGGGUCCAUAUGAUUGAGGUUUUCUGCAGAAAAAUCCAGGACUGCUGAUUGUCCCUCCCUCGUCCAGCAAUCUCUCUCCGAUUUACUCUCCAGACUCCUGAGGUUCUGUGCUACCAUCAGUAACACUUCUUAAUGACCAGAGGUAUGGAUAGCCUUCAAGACCCGAAGCUUGGAGAUGUGACCAUCAUUCUCUGUGAUUCCACUUGUAAAAAUCUGAUCGAUCCCUUCCUAUCCACUACUGGGAGCAUCAGUAUGGAGGAGGAGCACCUCAGUGACAGAGCAAAGUGGUACACAACAGCUCCAAAAAGCUUCUGGGAAUAGGGGAAGCCCCUGCAACGAAGGGCUGCUUUGGGCCACCCCUGCAAGGAAGCUGUUUGACACUACUGUGGUCUCCCCUUCACCAGUGAGGGGUAUCCUUAAAGAGGGGUAGCUAUAAUAAAACUCAGCCAAAUGGUGGAA